rnacentral:tRNA from 1 species
UCCUUGGUAGUCUAGUGGUUAAGGACUUAGUGUUGUUACUGCUGUGGGUUCAGGUUUGAUUCCUGGCCUGGGAA